GGUUGGAUUACAGCUGGGAUUACAGCUGGGGCAGGUUGGAUUACAGCUGGGAUUACAGCUGGGGCAGGUGGGAUUACAGUUUGGGCAGGUUGGAUUACAGCUGCGAUUACAGCUGGGGCUGUGCACUGUGUUCAAAACUAAUAUCUGUUAUGAACACAGUGCACAACAUUUUAUAGAUUUGACGCUUUGCCAAAGUCUUUAAAAAUUGCAUUGUUUAGAAGCAGUGCAAGGUCAAAUUGAGUUUGUACACACACGCACUUCCCAGAGGAGGCGUUCCCUAACGUAAAUAUGCAAAUACAUGCUAGAACGCGCCAAUAGGAUCUCGCUAGCUCGUGCUUG
ensembl:lncRNA